CCUACGGGUGGCUGCAGUGGGGAAUAUUGGACAAUGGGCGCAAGCCUGAUCCAGCCACGCCGCGUGAGUGAUGAAGGCCUUCGGGUUGUAAAGCUCUGUGGGACGAGACGAAAAAAGUGGAGGCGAAUAGGCUCUGCUCUUGACGGUAUCGUCUUAGCAAGCACCGGCUAACUCUGUGCCAGCAGCCGCGGUAAGACAGAGGGUGCAAACGUUGCUCGGAAUUACUGGGCGUAAAGCGCGUGUAGGCUGACGCGUGUGUCGGGUGUGAAAUCCCU
rnacentral:rRNA from 1 species